GAGCACCUUGCCAAAGAGUCUGGAGCU
rnacentral:piRNA from 1 species